CCUACGUGGGGCUGCAGUGGGGAAUAUUGGACAAUGGGCGAAAGCCUGAUCCAGCCAUGCCGCGUGUGUGAAGAAGGCCUUCGGGUUGUAAAGCACUUUCAGUGGGGAAGAAAGCCUUGGGGCUAAUACCCUCGAGGAAGGACAUCACCCACAGAAGAAGCACCGGCUAACUCCGUGCCAGCAGCCGCGGUAAUACGGAGGGUGCGAGCGUUAAUCGGAAUUACUGGGCGUAAAGCGCGCGUAGGCGGUCUGAUAAGCCGGUUGUGAAAGCCCCGGGCUCAACCUGGGAACGGCAUCCGGAACUGUCAGGCUAGAGUGCAGGAGAGGAAGGUAGAAUUCCCGGUGUAGCGGUGAAAUGCGUAGAGAUCGGGAGGAAUACCAGUGGCGAAGGCGGUCUUCUGGACUGACACUGACGCUGAGGUGCGAAAGCGUGGGUAGCAAACAGGAUUAGAUACCCUAGUAGUC
rnacentral:rRNA from 1 species